rnacentral:misc_RNA from 1 species
GAGAGAGAGAAAGAGAGAGACAGACAGAUAGCUGGAGAGAAAAGAAAUUAGCGAAAAAAUUUGAGAGAGAAAGAGACAGAGAGGGGAGCAAAGGGGAAAUAUAUAUAAAAUGGGAAUCAUAAAUCUGAAGAGACCAGGAAGAUAGAAAGAGACCAGACUUGUAGUGUGGGUACCUUAAUUGGCUUUGGGAAACGAAUCAGUAUUGCGAGUGAAAAAUUGUAGAACCAAGGCAGCCUGGGGAAUUCUGCAAUUGAAUCUAAGGAAAUAGAUAUUUCAGCUUUAUCUGAGGAUUCAUCGACUAGGGAAAAAAAGGACUGAUCAGUAAGAUUAAACUCUCAUCCCAAAAACUUUUAGUUGAAGUCAAAUUGCGCAAAAGAGACUCUUCUUUCACCGACACUAACCUUUUUCAGUUUCUCAAGAUAGAGCAGUUCGAACAAGGCAAUAAUAGAAUCAUCAGCUAAUUUUCUUUAUAACCCUUUUCCUUCUUCUUCAGGUACA